AUACCUUUCUUGGCCUUUUGGCUAAGAAGAUCAAGUGUAGUAUCUGUUCUUAUCAGUUUAAUAUUUGAUACGUGGGCCAAUGGUGCACACGAUAUUAACUCAGUUUUUUAGGGGCAAAGUCCAUUAAGGUAGCUUGCUACCUGCGCUUUUAAGUGUUGCCGUUGCGUUGCCAAUCGUUAUGCGUUGGGUCCG
rnacentral:snRNA from 1 species